CUGCUGCGGACUUUGGAAGCUCUGAUUCGUCGGUUGCAUGGUAUUGGCUACUUGGUGCUGCUGCAUGGGCAGGCCGUGGGGUUUUUGCACCUGUGUCCCUUGGCCCUGUAAUUAUGCGACAAUUGUGGAGUUCACGCGGGAAUGAUUUUCGCAGAGUGCUUCACCGAGGAAAAUAAAUAUAUGCAUGAAGCACGAGCGAACUGGACUGCAACGUCACGGAAAGAAAAUGUUGGUCGCAUGACUGAAACGUAUGAGAAAGUACACCGGAUUUUGUCGCAGAGGCGAGUGGUUGGGUUCACGAACACCCCCUUUCAUUUGCGACAAGGUUUCUCGAUCUACCACGCCAAGGUGCUCGACGGCUAGGAAAAAUUUAACGCGGGGCUCGAACGAAAACUAGUCGAGCUUCGAAACGCCAUAAAUUAACUGAAAUUCAUCCAAAACUGUUGCGAUCGAAGGAGCGAUUAGGCGAAAUCAAAGUAACGUUACCCGAUGAAAAGUAGUCCAGGAUGCGUGGAAGGAAAUCGAAGAUUACCUGAUUCUGAGAACUCUGAUGUAGUCCCUGGUGCAGUUGCUGACUCGGCAG